rnacentral:rRNA from 1 species
UACGUAUGGUGCAAGCGUUAUCCGGAUUUACUGGGUGUAAAGGGAGCGUAGGCGGCGCGUUAAGUCUGAUGUGAAAACCCGAGGCUCAACCACGGGAGUGCAUUGGAAACUGGCGGGCUGGAGUGCCGGAGAGGUAAGCGGAAUUCCUAGUGUAGCGGUGAAAUGCGUAGAUAUUAGGAGGAACACCAGUGGCGAAGGCGGCUUACUGGACGGCAACUGACGCUGAGGCACGAAAGCGUGGGGAGCAAACAGG